rnacentral:ncRNA from 2 species
AGGGUGGCGGGUGCAACUGGUUCGCCCUGCCCGCCAGGCAGACGCGUCGCAAGAGGGAACCCGGUGGAAUUCCGGGACUGCCCCGCAGCGGUGAGUGGGAACGACCGCCGUCUUACGCACUGGGCCCGGCCGGGUCUGGGAAGCGACGGCCAGUAGAUGUCCGCCUUGGCGGAUGUGCCCACGAGUCCGAAGACCUGCCAGUGCCCUCGUGCGACC